GUUCGGCUGGCAGGGGAAGGUUACCCGCGGGUUCUAAGAUAUACCAGAUACCUCCCCUCCCCGCCUGUGAUGGGUCGUGGCGAAAGCAGAUUAAAACCAUAUGAAUCGGGAUAAAUCCUUCCGAUCAGGAGAUUUAAUCUCCUUUGAUUCCACCAGAUACAUUUCCCUACAGGAACAUAUCCCGGGUUACUCCCUUCUCGCUUGUUUCCACUCGCGGCUGAGGCAGAGCUUUGCUACCGCGGCCCCUGACAGUACCAUCCGUGGGGUUCGCCCGGCCACCUGGCACCGGCUGUGUCGGACCUCCUCUCCCCGUCAGUGCCUUUCCCGGGAGACGGAGGAGAUUUAAUUACAUUUAUCUUAGUAUAUUUUUUAAUCUUGCAACUUUUACAUCUCCCCCCCGAGUCCUCUCGCCGCUGGACCCAGAGGAACAGACGCGGAGACGUGAGGAGCCGGGGCUGUUUUAAACGAGUAGGCCGGGACAGAAGCUCUCCAGGUGGCCGAGAUGUUGGCACCGGAGCCGCUUCACCUCGUUCCCUCCCUCCUUCCUUCCCUCCUCCCUUCCUCCGGGGCUUCGUCCCGGCAGCUGCAGCCACAGUCCCGCUGCCAAAACGGCGGGACACGGCCUGAACCUUCCCGAGCAGCCCCGCUGCAGGGCGGCAGGAGGUGGCGAGCGCUGGACGGGGCGGGCAGAAACUGCUCUCCCCGGUGUCUCCACCGAGGACCCCGGCAGCAGCGGUGCCAGGGACGGGUGCAGCCCGCACUACACUCCCCAUCAGCCCAUGGUACUGGCCCCGCUAGUCCCGGUGCGUGACUGGUUGUCCCACCGCCUGCCGCAGGUCCUCCCCUGCUUCCAUUGGUCCGGUUAGCUGUCCGUCAGCGCGGGGCGGGACGGGGUGUGCAGGGGUGGUGGCGGCCCGCGGCGUGGUUGCCGGGGAGUCCGGAGGCGGCGCUGGCAGGACGGCGAGUGGAGGCCUUGCGGGCCGAGGCCCAGCCCGGCUGGGAUCAGCUCCGCUCAGCCCGGGGCUGCUGCUGGUCGUGUCCGGUCGCACAGGACAGGGCCCGCCGGCGAGGUGAGGAAGCGGCGUGGCGGGACGGCGGCGUCCGGGGGAGAUGGGGACCGUGCUGGCGGCGGCGCUGCCCUGCUGUGCUGGGGCGCCCCCUGCCUGGCGGGCUCCGGCUGUGCUCCGGCCGCAAUGGGCAGCAGCUCCCGGGGAGCUGGCGGCGCGGAGCCGCUCCAAGCCCUGUCGCAUCCCUGGACCGCUGUCCUGCUGAGGCGGAGGGCGCUGCCGCGGCGGGCCCUGCAGUAAGACGGCGAUCGCGGGAGCGGCGUACUGAGUGGGUCUCGGCACCCUCCCCGGUGCAGCUGUCGAGCAGCGCUUUUCCUGUCAUUUCCCUACUUCAUGUAAUUUUCCCGCGUUUUAAUUUAUCUUUAUUUAUGUUUCCUAACGUGAAAGCGUCGUUGUGCCGUUUCUGCAGCAGUCCCCGGUGCCCGGGCAGGCUCCGUCGGCGAAUCCACGCUCCCUUACAAGCUCAUUCCACACAGGGAGAAGCAGAGUUUCUAACCAUCUUCCCGUGGCAUCUGUCUUUUUUGUGAAGAGGAGGUGUCUUGUAGUGGAUGGAAUUAAACUUGGGUAUCUUAGGUACCUCCUGAUCUGUGUGUUGCUGCUGGCUUCCCAGGAUGACGGGCUGGGAAUUACAGGGCCAGUCUGUGCAGUGGAAGUGCUGGUGGCUUUUAGCCUAGGAAGCCGAAUCUACUGUUGACUUCUUGUUGUGAAAGAGGAGCACCUCAGCAGGAAGUAUGGCUGUGGCUCCCCGUGCCAUUCCGUGGGACGUGCAUGUGCCCAUAACUUUCCAUACAGUGGCAAACUCCCUUUCAGCUGCAGGUGCUGCAGUGUGAUGGGAGCUCCCGUAGCUGGAAUAUGAUCUCCAGUGUGGGUGUUAGAGGUGGGUAACGAAGAUAUGAGUGAUUCUUGAAGCUGCUUUCUGCAGAUUAAGGUGAAUGCAUUUGUAAAGCCAGAAUAAUUUUUUUUUUGAGUAUAUAUCACUGGGGAAAAAGCAAGCCAGUCAGACCUUUCAAGGUGAAAGCAAAUAAUCAUAACAGUUUACUAUACCAGCAAACUUGUGACUGAUCAUUCUCCUACUCCUCCAUAAGGAGGUGCUUCUUCCUGAGCUAUUUUUCUCCCAGCAGAGCAAAACUUUUUUCUUUCCAUAAGCACAUCUUUUUCACAGUAUUUCUCAGCAUUGCUAUCACAGGUCAAGGACUCAGCGUUUACUUCUGAAAUAUUGUCUGCUGACAUCCACAGAACUUUUUGUGCUCUUCAGAUUUAAUUUUGUAUAGAAUAAUGAGUAGUAUAUUAUGUAGGUCCUGUUUUCAAUUAAGCUGUAUUAGGUAACUAUGCUCUUCUUUCAUAUCCCGUAGGAAAGUAUCAAUAUCCAGAUGGCAGUAUGCUGGGAUAAAAUAGCUACAGGCUUAGCUACUACUGUAAAGCCAAGAACCAACAUUUUAGCCUGUGUGAUAAAUAAAACCGAGGUUGCGACUCUUGGUGUAUUGGAGUUGCACUAAAUAACACUACAGUGCUGUUUAUUACUGGUUUCAUUGGAUAAUAUGCCGCUAUAAAACCUGCUUGAAGCUUUUAUUAAGAGUACUCUGUCAUUAUAAAAAGGUGCCUACAACUUCUUUAUGAUAUUGACGGUGCAGGAAUUACUUUGUUUGUGCUGACUUCCUGGCUGUUGUCUGGGGAGGGCCUUACCCUCUCCCACUUUCUGUAGGCACCAGGAUCCAUAAAUGCCUCCUGGGAAGAGAACGAAUCUGUAGAGCCUAGGGUUCAAAAGAUUGCACUCGAGCAGAAGCAGCAAGGUCCACGAUGAGAAAAAUGAAUCCAGCAGUCCCUCCUAUCUUGUACCUGCCUGAAUGCAGGAAGAGACCUCAUACAAAGCAAGAAUGCAUUUGGGCUUUUGGCUCUUUUUAACCAUAUUUAAUCCAAUUCAGAGUUAAUGGUGAACUCAGUGAAACUGGUCUAAGCAUUGCUGAAGAAGGGAAGACCAGAGUUGGAAGGCAGGAGCUAUUUCAAAGCAGGAUUCUUCUUUCUGUAACACCCAAACAUGGAAACUACAAACUUCAUUAGAUCCUGCCAUCAGUGACUUGAGCUUCCCUGAAAUCUUCUUAUCAGUUACUGCCGAGAUGAGAAGGAUAACAGGAAGGAGGAGUGCUUAAGUGGUUUUAAUGACAGUUAAUUUCAUCUAUUUAUCAAAUGACAGGUUGUCUUUUUUCCUCAAAACUUGAUUGUCAUGACAAAAUGCUUUUGGAAGUCAUCUGUGUAAAAUAAAACUGACAAUUUUGGGGCUACAA